UCAAGCUACUAAGGGUAGACGGCGGAUGCCUUGGCGCAGAGAGGCGAUGAAGGGCGUUGCAGACUACGAUAAGCCUCGGGGAGCCGUCAAGCAGGCUUUGAUCCGGGGGUGCCCGAAUGGGGAAACCCGGCUGGGGUCAUGCCCAGUCAUCCCACGGCUGAAUACAUAGGCCGAGGGAAGCUAACCCAGGGAAGUGAACCAUCUCAGUACCUGGAGGAAGAGAAAGCAACCGCGAUUCCGUCAGUAGCGGCGAGCGAACGCGGAACAGCCUAAACUCCGCACGUGUAAACAUGCAGGUGUUGCGUGCGGAGGGUCGCGGGGCGCGACAUGGUCCGGCUGCAUUCGGGCCGGGGAGUUACAAAGCAUAUGUCUAGUGGAAUGUUCUGGAAUGUUCAACCAUAGAGGGUAACAGUCCCGUACGCGAAAGAUGUAUGCCUCCCUCGUUGCGUUCCCAAGUACCACGGGACACGAGAAACCCUGUGGGAAUCUGGGGGGACCACCCCCCAAGGCUAAAUACUCCUCUGCGACCGAUAGUGAACCAGUACCGUGAGGGAAAGGUGAAAAGUACCCCUGUUAGGGGAGUGAAAUAGUACCUGAAACCGUCUACCUACAAGCAGUGGGAGCCCGAUGCCCCGAGCUUCGGCUGAGGGGAAUGCCGGGUGACCGCGUGCCUUUUGCAUAAUGAGCCGGCUAGUUACUUUUAGUGGCAAGGUUAAGCCAAUGGCGAAGCCGUAGCGAAAGCGAGUCUGAAUAGGGCGCUCCAGUCGCUGGAAGUAGACGCGAAGCGAAGUGAUCUAUCCUUGGCCAGGGUGAAACUCGGGUAACACCGAGUGGAGGCCCGAACCAGUGUAGGAUAAAAACUGCUUGGAUGAGCUGAGGAUAGGGGUGAAAGGCCAAUCAAACUUCGUGAUAGCUCGUUCUCCCCGAAAUAGCUUUAGGGCUAGCCUCACGUGAUUCGUGGCGGUGGUAGAGCACUGGAUGGACUAGGGGGCCCUUCACAGCCUACCAACUCCAACCAAACUCCGAAUGCCGUAGAUGUGGACCGCGGGAGUCAGACUGCGGGGGAUAAGCUCCGUAGUCGAGAGGGAAACAACCCAGAUCGCCAGCUAAGGUCCCCAAAUGUCAGCUAAGUGGGAAAGGAUGUGAAGACGCAGAGACAGCCAGGAGGUUGGCUUAGAAGCAGCCAUCCUUUAAAGAAAGCGUAACAGCUCACUGGUCAAGUGGCUUCGCGCCGAAAAUUCAACGGGGCUCAAGUUGACUACCGAAGCUGCGAAUUUUGGAGCUCCUUCGGGAGCUCGAGAAUGGUAGAGGGAGCAUUCUGUGGGCACUGAAGCCAGACCGUGAGGACUGGUGGAGCGCACAGAAGAGACCCUGCCGGCACAAGUAGCGAUAAAGCAGGUGAGAACCCUGCUCGCCGAAAGUCUAAGGUUUCCUGAGGAAGGGUCAAUCCGCUCAGGGUUAGUCGGUCCCUAAGGCGAGGCCGAAAGGCGUAGUCGAUGGGAAACAGGCGAACAUUCCUGUACCACUCCGAUAUCGUUUGUACGAUGGGGUGACGCAGAAGGACAGCCCGGCCUACGAUUGGAAGUGUAGGUUCAAGCGUGUAGGGGGGAGCGGCAGGUAAAUCCACUGCUCCAUUCAACCCUGAGGCGUGAUGUCAAGACCCUCGGGUCACAAAGCGGGUAAUUCCAUGCUGCCUAGAAAAACCUCUAAGGAGAGAUCGGGGUGACCGUACCGCAAACGGACACACGUAGACGGGGAGAGAAUCCCAAGGCGCUUGAGUGAUCCCUUGUGAAGGAACUCGGCAAAUUGGCACCGUAACUUCGGGAGAAGGUGUGCCGCUGGGAGUGUAGAGGUUCGCCCUCGAAGCACCCGGCGGUCGCAGUGACCAGGCCCAGGCGACUGUUUACUAAAAACACAGGACUCUGCAAAGUCGAAAACGACGUAUAGGGUCUGACGCCUGCCCGGUGCCGGAAGGUUAAGAGGAUGUGUUAGCCGGCUUCGGCCAGCGAAGCACUGAAUCGAAGCCCCGGUAAACGGCGGCCGUAACUAUAACGGUCCUAAGGUAGCGAAAUUCCUUGUCGGGUAAGUUCCGACCUGCACGAAUGGCGUAACGAUCUGGGCACUGUCUCCACAAGGGGCUCAGCGAAACUGUAGUACCGGUGAAGAUGCCGGUUACCCGCGGUAAGACGGAAAGACCCUGUGAACCUUUACUAUAGCUUGGCACUGGCUCUUGAUGUUGUAUGUGCAGCAUAGGUGGGAGGCUUUGAAGCCGGGGCGUCAGCCUCGGUGGAGCCACCCGUGAGAUACCACCCUUACUGCACUGAGAGUCUAACCCAGGCCCGUUAUCCGGGUCGGGGACAGUGUCUGGUGGGUAGUUUGACUGGGGCGGUCGCCUCCUAAAGUGUAACGGAGGCGCUCAAAGGUACCCUCAGGCUGAUUGGAAACCAGCCGUAGAGCGCAAAGGUAUAGGGGUGCUUGACUGCGAGACCUACAAGUCGAGCAGGUACGAAAGUAGGACUUAGUGAUCCGGCGGUUCCGAGUGGAAGGGCCGUCGCUCAACGGAUAAAAGGUACUCCGGGGAUAACAGGCUUAUCCUGCCCAAGAGUUCACAUCGACGGCAGGGUUUGGCACCUCGAUGUCGGCUCAUCGCAUCCUGGGGCUGAAGCAGGUCCCAAGGGUUCGGCUGUUCGCCGAUUAAAGCGGUACGUGAGCUGGGUUUAGAACGUCGCGAGACAGUUCGGUCCCUAUCUACCGUGGGCGUAGGAGACUUGAGGAGAUCUGUCCCCAGUACGAGAGGACCGGGAUGGACGAGCCUCUGGUGCACCAGUUGUCGUGCCAACGGCAUCGCUGGGUAGCUAAGCUCGGAAAGGAUAACCGCUGAAAGCAUCUAAGCGGGAAGCCCACUCCAAGAUAAGGUCUCCCGGGCGAAAGCCCCUGAAGACCCCAGGUAGACCACCUGGUUGAUAGGCGGGGUGUGGAAGCGUGGCAACACGUGAAGCUGACCCGUACUAAUCGGUCGUGAGGCUUGACCAC
rnacentral:rRNA from 1 species